rnacentral:rRNA from 1 species
GACGAACGCUGGCGGCGUGCUUAACACAUGCAAGUCGAACGAAGCGCUUAAGCUGAUUUCUUCGGAUUGAUUCUUGAGUGACUGAGUGGCGGACGGGUGAGUAACGCGUGGGUAACCUGCCUCAUACAGGGGGAUAACAGUCAGAAAUGGCUGCUAAUACCGCAUAAGCGCACAGUACCGCAUGGUACGGUGUGAAAAACUCCGGUGGUAUGAGAUGGACCCGCGUCUGAUUAGCUAGUUGGUGGGGUAACGGCCCACCAAGGCGACGAUCAGUAGCCGACCUGAGAGGGUGACCGGCCACAUUGGGACUGAGACACGGCCCAG